rnacentral:rRNA from 1 species
CAGCCGCCGCGGUAAUACGAAGGGUGCAAGCGUUACUCGGAAUUACUGGGCGUAAAGCGUGCGUAGGUGGUGGUUUAAGUCCGUUGUGAAAGCCCUGGGCUCAACCUGGGAAUUGCAGUGGAUACUGGGUCACUAGAGUGUGGUAGAGGAUAGUGGAAUUUCCGGUGUAGCAGUGAAAUGCGUAGAGAUCGGAAGGAACAUCUGUGGCGAAGGCGACUAUCUGGGCCAACACUGACACUGAGGCACGAAAGCGUGGGGAGCAAACAGGAUUAGAGACCCCGGUAGUCCCUGUCUCUUAUAA